rnacentral:rRNA from 1 species
UACGUAGGUGGCAAGCGUUGUCCGGAUUUAUUGGGUUUAAAGGGUGCGUAGGCGGCUUGAUAAGUCAGUGGUGAAAGCCGAUCGCUUAACGAUCGAACUGCCAUUGAUACUGCCAGGCUUGAGUAUAGUUGAGGUAGGCGGAAUUGACAGUGUAGCGGUGAAAUGCAUAGAUAUUGUCAAGUACACCAAUUGCGAAGGCAGCUUACUAAAGUAUAACUGACGCUGAGGCACGAAAGUGCGGGGAUCAAACAGG